rnacentral:rRNA from 1 species
AGCGAACGCUGGCGGCAGGCCUAACACAUGCAAGUCGAACGAACCUUUCGGGGUUAGUGGCGGACGGGUGAGUAACACGUGGGAACGUGCCUUUAGGUUCGGAAUAACUCAGGGAAACUUGUGCUAAUACCGAAUGUGCCCUUCGGGGGAAAGAUUAAUCGCCUUUAGAGCGGCCCGCGUCUAAUUAGCUAGUUGGUUGAGGUAAUGGCUCACCAAGGCGACGAUCAGUAGCUGGUCUGAGAGGAUGAUCAGCCACAUUGGGACUGAGACACGGCCCAAACUCCUACGGGAGGCAGCAGUGGGGAAUCUUGCGCAAUGGGCGAAAGCCUGACGCAGCCAUGCCGCGUGAAUGAUGAAGGUCUUAGGAUUGUAAAAUUCUUUCACCGGGGACGAUAAUGACGGUACCCGGAGAAGAAGCCCCGGCUAACUUCGUG